GAUCUCAUCCAAGGACAUGUAUGAAACCUGGUUAUAAAGAUGGUAGAACACACUUUGUGCAGCUAACCACCAGGCGAUCUGAGGACCAAUCUCCGCAACGGCCCUCUCCCAACCAGCAGCCCACAUUGUAGGCCCUUCCACAGCGAUAGCAAAGGGCGUCAGGAUCACAAGAGAUAGCAUAGACAGGCAAGCAUAGUAGUUCAUCCCGCUGACCGAUUUCCCUUUACUCCCCGACAUCCCUUUUUUGGAGAAUAUAUUUCUGAACACAAAAGCAACGUUUGAUAUCAUCGCGCCCAUAAACCCUGUCAUGUUAAAGUUAAGCUCAGUCGCCGCCGCGAGACCGCAGCCUCCAAUAAUCGGCACCAGCGACAAGUACACCGGUAGAGGGAACGACUCCCCCAACAAAAACCUAGACACCAGCACGCUGAACGCCGGUUCAGCACUCUUAAUUAU
rnacentral:misc_RNA from 1 species